UUGUAAUUUCAAAUCAUGACAGCUCAGAAGCUGUCAUUAAGAAUAAGAAUAAACUGAAGAACUUUUUUCCUCCUCCACAGACAGGAUUGCAAUCUAUGGAUGUAUUGUGAAUGUGGCAGCAGAAAAAGACAUGAAACAAGACAGGUCCUCAAUAACUUCAUACCUGGAGCCACUAGUGAUUGUGUUUGCACUCAUUCUCAGCUGCAAUCACUCAGUCUCACAGCUGGACAACACCUCUCAUUCAAAAUAAACCUUCCGUUCUUGAUUGCUCCAUAUCACGUUGCUGCCAUUUCCAGCUGUUUCUCGAUCAGAAUACAUUGCUUUAAGAUCUGCCUCUUUAUGUCCUCAAAGCAAAUGAACAAGCACAGGAAUAUUUUGAAACAUUUUAUUACACUUACCAAUGUUAUUUGACUCUGUAACAAGUGAAAAACAAAUUACAAUGAGGAAUGCUGUUUUUGAAGAACUGCAAUUUCCAUUUGCCUGUAUUUGUGGAUAAGAAAUUUGGGGCUUUUGGACCAGAGACUCCCUCUGUUCAUCAUGGUUGAAAUUUUACAUGCCGGAUGAAAAGACUGGAGAAAAGCAGAGUGAUUUACUGAACUUGUUGCCUUCAGAAAGCAAUCUCAUCGGUAGUUCUACAGUACCUCAUAUAAAAUAAGCUCAGGUUUGGAGAAAUAUAGAUAUAUAUUUCCAUGUAAUAUCUGUGCAUUUUCCUAAAUGCUGCCAUGCCUUUUUACUAUGUUAAUGAAUAGCUUAGAUGAUGAACAUGCUUUAUAGGCUUUGCUGGCUACUGUGUGAGCCUCUGGACAUGGUUAGUUCCUAAGAAAUGCUUAGUAACAUGCACUUUUGCAAAGUCUCUUGAGUUUUUGGAACAAUGGCCAAGGGUGUUUGGAGAAAUGCUUUCCUGUCUUUACAGACUCACAAUCACCACUGAGUUCUUCCAAGUUUGUACCAACCUUACUGACCUUGCUCAGUCUGGCUCCAACUGUCCUGGGGGACAGAAUGAUUCCUCAUUCACCAGUGCCUUUAAUUACCUUCUUUUGCAAAAAAAAUGUUCUCUGGGGUCCAAGGAGGAUGUUGAGAAAGAAUGCUAUGGCAUUCCAACAUUUUCUCUUUACUCAAGCAUCCAACAAUUACAAUCAAAGUACGUUGAAAUUGCUUACCUUUAUUUCAGCUCAUCUCAUCAAACUCUGUCUACAGCUCAAUGAAACAUAUGAAAAGACAAAACAGUACAAAAAACUUCUUCAUUGUACGUUAAUAUCUCUACUUGUCCUGUAGAGAUAAGCCCAUGGACGUGAUCAUGCUUAACUGGGCUGUCUACAUAGAAGAUAGAAUAAUAUAGAAUAGACUUUAAAUGAUGCACUACUACAAUUCAUAAAGUCUUUUAAACACUGAUUUUUUUUUAUAGUCAGUAUCUGGUGACAAAAAAAAACACAAAUAACAGCAAAACCUGAGUAGAUUAAUGACCUUAAUAUUUUUUAAAAUUUAUUUAUUUAGAAAUAUUACUUUAGGAAUUUAUUUGCUUACAAAUAGAAUAUUAUAAUAGGUACUAUAAAUAGAUUAUAUAGUAUAUACUAGGCUCAGUGCCUGAAUCUAGGAAUAUUCUAAUCCACUUUCAAAGGAGAAUCUACGGUUUCAAUAGAGAACAAAAAUAAUUGAAUACUGUUUCAUUUUGUUUUGCUUUGUUUUUGCUUUUUAAGUGAAAUAUAGAACUAAACUCUCAAGUAACUAUGGCUAUCCCAACUUGCUUGCUUUCUCCUGGAGGGAAGUCCUUAUGUUCCACAUAACGUCAAAAGAGUAUCAUUGAACACCUAUGAUGAGCUUGAGAUACUAAAGCCCAGAAGGAAUAUGAGACCAGUUUGGGCUUUCUAUUCUGUUGUUCAAGGGCUCAUAAUUGGAAGACAAAAAAAAAAAAAAAUCUGCUUGCAAAUGUUUUUUUUUUUUUUUAAUAUUUCUUGCAGAUCAUGGAACAUGAGUUUAGAAAGAAGUGGAGGCAGGAGGGCCUAUCAUUUGCAAAUGGCACAGAAGAGCAAAAUCAAAUCCUGGAAGAGAGCAAAAAUGAGAUGAAUUUACUCAAGAUCAUCUCCCUGGAGACUGCCAGCUCGAUUAGAGCUAAAUUGCUAUUGAUGACUUCAAAGAAUCAGAUCAUGUAAUUUGACAUAUAAGGAUAUAUGGCACAAAUAAUCAAAUAUUUAAAUAAUGAAAACACCAAAUGAAUUAAAUAUUCCUGUUAUAUAGAACUAUUAGAAUUACUUAAGAGACCUUCCAGAUGCAAUCUGUUAUGUUAAGUACAAUGAUUCUGUGUUUCCAUGUGCCGGGCAGAAUUUAAAAUGCAAGGGAUCAUAUAAGCAUAGCAGACCAAUUUUUAAACUAACUGAAGCCCCAACAUUUCAUUCUGAUGGGUGAUUGCACACUACCACAUCUCUUCUCUUUGUCUUUCUUCUCUUCUAACAUAUUCAGCAGUUAAUUUAGAAAGUAAGAUGUCCCUUUAGAAACAAAGAAGACAUUAAGAAUUUUCUUGCAGAGGGUGCCAAGUAAGAACCUACCCUCUUGCUCAUCUCGGUAAACAUUUGCUUUCAAGAUUGCUGUAGUAUCCCAUUAUCAUCAAGUCCCACCAAGAAGGAAAAUUAAGUCUUGUAAAAAAAAAUCACAAUUUUGAUUGUGCCAAAACUCCUCCAUUUAAUAUACCCCAAACCAAUAUGUGCAGUCUGUCACUUGAGGUCCUAGGGUUUCCUCGAUCCCAAGCCUCAGCCAACCUGGACUCGUCACAAUUUGUCAGGCAGAUUGGUGCUUGACUUCUUGAUUCUUGCUCCUGGGCAAUGACUCAAACUCUGUCCACCUAGAAUUCUUGACUUCUCAUUUACCCAUUCAUUCCCUCGAGAACUCAGGACAUAUGUACUUGUUCCUUGGUCUGUGCCAGUAUCUGUCCCUCUCUCAAUCCUAACCCUGCUUCAAGAGUGAGGUGUCUCAUUCAAAGCCAUACAAUUAUUCCAUGACAUCUUUCUUUAUCUUUCUCAUCAAGAGUAAUUUAUUGAUGUAUCCAUUUCAUCAUUUAUUCAUUUAAAUAUUGUGUUGAAUGUCUAUUAUAUGCUGAGUCCUAAUAAUACAAGUACAAAUGAAGUCUGUUCCCUGACUUUAUAGAACUUGAAGCUGAUUUAAAAAGCAAACCAGUGAAACAGCAGGUACCCCACAAUUAUAGAGUGGAAGAGGGCAAACAUGUAUAAUGUGUGCCCCUAGAACCCUAAACCACCCAGGAAUGGCCAGGGUCCUCUCUCUAGAGAAAAGAACUGAUGAUCUGAGCCUAGAAAUUCAAGGAGAUUUAGCUAAAUAUAGAAAAGAAAGGAGAAUGUUCUUUGCAGAAAGAAAAGGCACAGGAAAAUAGCAUAAGAAGUAUGAGGAAAACCGUGGCAUUCUAGCGGGCCAGGCUGCACACAC
rnacentral:lncRNA from 1 species